UUACAAGAUCCCAGGGCAACUCCAGGACCCGUAUGUAGCACUUCUCGCGAGCUCCCGUGAAGGAGUGGACAGCAUAAAACAGCGGCCCUCGCGGAAAACCACUGUCUGGCCAUGGUGAUUUUGGCUCCUUCCAGACAUGGCAUCAAGGUGUCUUACCUGAAUGUGAAUCUCUGUCCCAUCCUCACCUGGGCAAGAGCCACAGCCAUCGGCAGGGAAACGUGGUCAUUUCUGCAUGCAACAGUGUGUUCAGCAUCCAACCUCCAAGAAAGAAGAGGAAUUGGGAAGAGGAUU